AGUGAACGCUGGCGGUAGGCCUAACACAUGCAAGUCGAACGGCAGCACAGUAAGAGCUUGCUCUUACGGGUGGCGAGUGGCGGACGGGUGAGGAAUACAUCGGAAUCUACUUUUUCGUGGGGGAUAACGUAGGGAAACUUACGCUAAUACCGCAUACGACCUACGGGUGAAAGCAGGGGAUCUUCGGACCUUGCGCGAUUGAAUGAGCCGAUGUCGGAUUAGCUAGUUGGCGGGGUAAAGGCCCACCAAGGCGACGAUCCGUAGCUGGUCUGAGAGGAUGAUCAGCCACACUGGAACUGAGACACGGUUCAGACUCCUACGGGAGGCAGCAGUGGGGAAUAUUGGACAAUGGGCGCAGGCCUGAUCCAGCCAUACCGCGUGGGUGAAGAAGGCCUUCGGGUUGUAAAGCCCUUUUGUUGGGAAAGAAAAGCAGCAGGUUAAUACCCCGCUGUUCUGACGGUACCCAAAGAAUAAGCACCGGCUAACUUCGUG
rnacentral:rRNA from 1 species